GCUGUGAUGGCCGAGUGGUUAAGGCGUUGGACUUGAAAUCCAAUGGUGUUUCCCAGGGCAGGUUCAAAUCCUUCUCAUAGCG